CCCGCACUGCGCCAUCAAAUGAGUCAAGCGGAAGGACCGGUACCCCUCCGGGAAAACCAGGCACUAACACACGGUGCACCCAACUGAAUUUAAACUCGGGAACAGUGUAGGCAGUGUCAACAAAGCGCGGUGCUGGGUCCCGAGCGUCCAAAGGUCCCUGCCAGCUCCCAGACGCGGCCAAAUCCACAGGAUUCCAAAAGGUGACUUGGCCGGCACCGCAGAGCGGCAGGCGGCGCAGAGGGCAGAGUCCGACCGGUCCCCGCCCCGCGCUCGCUCCGCACGGCCACCGGCUCCUCCGCGGACGCUACCCCGGCGGGAGCCGAGCUGAGUCCGACUCCCCGUCUCCCGAAGAGGCCCGAAAGCCGCGUCACGUGCGGGGCCGAAACUUCGCGGCCGGGGCCGGGUGGCUGGCGGGUGGGAGGCAGGCACGGCGGUCGGGGGGCAGCCCGCGCGCCCGGUGACUCACCGGCCGCCUCCGAGUGCGGCUGCAAGCGAAGGGGCCGGCGCGCCAGGCGGGGUCCGUGCCCUUGGGGCCACCCCCGCGCCUGUUAUUAAUAACCCAGCGCCUGGAGGCGAAAGCCCCGGUGGGCGCAGCCGCAAAGCCCGCACGCGGAAUAAAUAACAAUGUCAUUAAAUCGCGCCCGAGCGCCAGUUCGGCCAGAAAGCGGCGGGAGGGCGCCACCGGGAGCUGACUUUGUCUGGAGCCUGCACCCCGCCUCCCGCGCGUCCCCACAGCGUCCCCCGCGCCCCUGAGGGGGCUCAGCGCCGCCGCAGCCCUGGCCUUACCCGCCAGCUCGUCAGGCUCCAGCCCGCUGUCCGCGUCGAUCCCGCACAGCACGAAGUAGUGCGCGAAGCGGCAGGCGGCCGGGGAGGAGCCCGAGCCCGGGCCGGGCGCCGCGCAGCUCCCGCUCAUCCCGGCCGCGCUGCUCCAGGGGCCGCCGCCGCCGCCGCCCGGGAAGGCUUUCUGCGGAGGCUGCCACCACCGCUCCGGCUGUGGUCUGUGCGCCCGCCCUAGGGCGACACUGGCGCGCCCAUGGCCGCGCAGCCGCCUCUCGCCGCCGCAGCCUGCCUCCUCGCUCGGCGCGGGGGAAGCGGCCGCGGGCUCGCGCGCGGCGGGUCCGGAGCCCGGCCGGGUGGGGGAGGGGCGCGGGGGGAGUGUCGGCCUGAGAGGCCCUCGCAGCCGCAGCUGCGCUCGCGAGCUGAGAGCCGCCGCGUCUGGCGCCCGCGGGUCAGCUGAGCGGCGCUCGGGCUGUGGGAGCGCGGGGCGGGCGGGGGCGCCGGGGCUCGGCGCGUGCGACGGAGAGGGGUGGGGGGCGCGCUCGCGAGGGACGGAGGCGCGCGCUUCUACCGUGCGCGCGCGCCUAGCGGGUUCGGAGGCCAAGCCUGGCGUGGGGCCGCAUUCGUGCCCACUGGCCCCGGCUGCGGCAUCGAGGGCGACCCUGCACACACCCCUCCUCGCCCUGGCCAGCCGAUAAGAGGGCUAGCCUCAGUGUGGGGGUCUGUCUUCUAAAGGGGUUGUCACCCAUCCUUAUUUCUUUUAAUGCAGCUUUGGGGAAGGUGAACAGCCGCUCUGAGAUCAUUUCGCAUAACGGUCUGAACCAUCGUCUUUUAAACUGUGACCUGUGUGGGGGUGCCUGUCUCACUUUAAGGUCCUCCCUUCCCCCAGCCGUCACCCCAUUUACAGGCCAUCCUUAGUGACUUAGUGACAAGUCAACCGUGAGGGGGAAAAAACACAACUCAAUACCCACAAAGCGUUGAGACUUCUAGAAGGAGUGCAGUCACCAACCCCCGCCUUCUGUCAUUUAUCCUGACAUUUUCCAGACGGGGUUUCACCGUAUUAGCCAGGAUGGUCUCAAUCUUCUAACCUCGUGAUCUGCCCACCUCGGCCUCGCAAAGCGCUGGGAUUACAGGCGUGAGCCUCCGCGACCGGCCAGAACUAGCUCUUCUUAAGGAUGUGACAGUGAUCUGCACUAGAGCUUCAGGCAGCUAAGGAUAUCUGAAAAGGAGAGACUCUAUGGAGUGUGGAUGUAGAAAAGGAGUUAUUCCUACCGGAAAAAAAUGAACUGUGGACACAGUCACUCAAGACCAGAGAAACAACCACUAUGAGUAAGUAGCUUCAAUUUCACUGUUACCAGGAGGGCACACACCAGAAAGCCUGGGACAAAGCCUGGGCUAGAGCCCUCAGGAUUCAUUCUCAGGCUUCCUGGUGCUGUGGUUCAACAGCCUUUGUGGGGAUGGGGAGAACCAGAGACUAUCACCAUCACAUGUAAAAAAUAUUACCACAGCAACAGCUGUCAAAAACCAGCUGGAGCUGAAGUUACACACCAUUUGAAAUCCACACUGUACUUGCUUUCUUGUGAUGGGCUUGAGACAUGUGCAGAGACACCUUAAACAUGUGUAGGUGACCACCCUUUUGAAAGGCAGAGGAGGGCCUCUUCAUGAACUCUUUCUACUCAUUUGUUUUCCUAUCAGUUCACCAUUUCAACUAGAAAAGAUGCUGCAAGCUACCUCAGCUAGCUUCUAAUUUGGACACAGCACCAAUACUACACACACUAUUGAAUGAAUGACCACAUCUUCCUGGUUCUUCCAUUGGGCAGGGUCAAUAUGCUUCUUUGGACUGAAUAGGUGUGAUCUUGUUUGAGAAAAGUGUGUAAACGUAGGGCCAGAUUUUGUUCGUCUCCGUUCCGGAAAAUUGGUGGAGCACUCCUCGGCUCUUGUAUAAUUCAAUGACUGGCUUUGCCGCGUCUUUGUACUGUCUUAGCCUGGCAGCAACUGCUUCGGGUUUAUCAUCCUCCUGCUGGACUAAUGGUUCACCAGUGACGUCAUCAAUACCAUGUACAUGAGGUGGAUUGAAGUCCAGGUUAUAUACCCUUCCGCUAGGAGGGUGAAUCCAACGGCGGCUGAGACGAUCUUUAAGUGUUUCAAAUGGAAUAUUCAAACUGAUCACUAGAUCCACUUCACAGAUUUUGUCCAGGGCCUCGGCUUGUCCUAAUGUCCUAGGAAAACCAUCAAGGAGCCAGUGCUGGCCACGCCUAUUCUCCAACUCGGACAUCAUUAGGCGUGUGAUCACAUGGUCUGGAACCAAAAGACUUUUCUCUAUAUACUGCUUUGCCACCUCACCAACUUCGGUGCUGGCCUUGAUGUUCUCCCGCAAGAAGUGGCCGCUGGAGAGAUGCUGGAGACCAAAGUUCUGGGCGAUCCUCUGGCACACGGUGCCCUUGCCCGAGCCGGGCGGCCCGAGGAUGACCGCGCGCAGGAGUUUGGAAGCCAUUGCCUUCGCGAGGAGGGGGGCGGUCAAACGCGCAGCCCCGACCGCGGCCCCGGAGGGAGCCCCGGGAACUUUGUUUCUCGGCCCCCUACCUCUGGCACCCUCCGCUCUCACUGGGACUCGCCGGCCGGCCCUACAGGGGGAAGGCGGUCUUGAUUUCUUAAUCUCAUGCUUCAGUCUCCUCACCUGCAAAAUGAGAAUGGUGAUAAUAGGACCUACAUUAGGGAUGUGAUAUUGUGAAAUAUUUAUUUGGUCUUCCUACCAUCUCCUGGCAUAAAAUCUUUGGAAUCU
rnacentral:lncRNA from 1 species